CUGGCAGCAGAAAGACAUUGCCCCUUGUCCUGUCCCUCCAGGCCCUCGUCCAAAGGCCCUCUCCAGCUCUCUUGCAGCCCCUUUAGGGGGCACUGACAGGGACUCUAAGGUCUUCCCAAGACUCUAAGGUCUUUCUUCUGCAAGCUGAACACCCCCCAACUCUCCCAGUCUGUCUCCGAGCAGAGGUGCUCCAGCCCUGAGAGCAUCUCUGUGGCCUCCUGGGGACUCUCCAGCAGCUCCAUGUCCUUCUGAUGUUGGACCCCAGAGUUGGAGGCAGCUCUGCAGGUGGGAUCUCACCUGAACAGAGCAGGGGGGCAAAAUCCCCUCUCCCCUGCUGCCAAUGCUGGGGGAUCAGCCCAGCACACGGGGAGUUCUAGGUGCCAGCACACACACCUGGGACAUGUUGAAUGUCUCAUCCCCCAGCACCCCCAAGUCCUUCUGCUCAAAGCUGGCUCCAUCCCUUCAGCUCCCAGCCUUUGUGGAUACUGGGGUUGACCACAUACUGCUCUGCCAUACAUGCUCUGAAAUGCACAGAAAAGAGAGUAAACAUCAGAGGGAGGAGAACAAGGCCUCACUUCAGGCACUCUUCAUUUGCUGGAAGGCCACAUUUCCCUGGAGCCUUCUUUUCUCCAGGGAGAGCACUCCCAGCUCUCCCAGUCUGUCUCCAGCCCUCAGAGCAUCUCUGUGGCCUCCUCUGGACUCUCCUCAACAGCUUCAUGGCCUUCUGAUGCUGGGGACUGUCGCUGUUGACCUCAUUAAAGGAAGAAGAGGCACACUUUUCAUGGAACAAAAGAAGGGGACCCCAGAGCUGGAGGCAGAUCUGAAGGUGGGGUCUCACCUGAGUGGAGCAGAGGGGCAGGAUCCACCCCACCUCCUACAACCCCCCUCCUCGACUUCCCAAGAUGUGAGACCAAUUCAGGAUGUUUGAAUUAAUUUCUCUUAUAUAUUUUUUUCUGAGGAUAAGUUUUGGUGAGUACCUUCAGCUAUUACUUAAAGGUAUGUUAUGGAUUUUCUACGAUCAGCAUUUUCCAGUUUUCUAACUUGGCUGAAAAGCUUCCGCAAAGAAAACAAUAAAUUUGGAGUAAAUAAAUGCUGCCAUACACCCCAAAACAAAUUUAUGAUCUGGAUAGCCUUAAGACUUCUAAAUAAAGACCACAUGCAUUUUUUUUUUCAGGCAUUUUAUUUGGCAUGUGUUCCUGGAAGACCAGGACUCAGUGGUGGGAUUAGGAACUGACUAAACAAAACCUGUAGUCAUGCUUAGGAGAUUGCCAACAUUUUUAAGGCUCUUUGAGAAAACACCAAACAAAUUAGUUUGAAAUUAAGUUGAAGAUACUUUCUCAACAUCUUUUUCUCACCAGAGGCAAAUACUUUUUACCUUUUAUUGUUCAUAGAAAGCUGGGGAACUCAUUUGAUAUUCACUCCUCUGAGUAGACCUGCCUCUAGCCUACCAUACACUUUUAAUACUAGUCCUAAAAAGAGUCCAGGUACAGUUCUAGGUACUGGAGGGAUUUCAGAAAUGCUUUUGUGCUGCAUGCCAAAAUGCUAAGAGCAGGGAGAGAUUGUGUCAUCAGUUUUCAGUCAAAUCCCUCUGUGCCUCUUCCUAAGUUGCCAAAAAAGUUAUAGAUAAAAUAAUGAGCAAAGACUUUCCAUACAGCUUAAAAAAUGGGAUUUCUCUCCACAAUGGCUGUAGGUGGUUUGGGGUGUUGUGAUGAAGGACCUGGUCCUGUCUGGCUUCAUAUAACAGCGGUAAGAGGAGGAGUAUACUUGUGCUUGGCUUAGCUUGCACAUUUGCUCCAUUUUGCACCAAAUUUGGUCAUCAUAUUUUACAAUUCUACUCCAAGCAGGAAAUCUAGAUUAUGGUUCAGUGACUGCCUUAAUUUUUACAGACAAAUCAUGAUCUUUAUUGGUGGAAUUAUGAGCGAGCUGGAUCUUACUCUCUUUGUGUAAUGAGGCCAAUAUAUUGCUACUAGCACGAAGUUUUAAAUUUCAUGUAACAAAGAACAAAGGUAGUUUUCUAUGUGCUUUCCUUCUUUCUUUCCCUCUCCCUCUCACUCUCCCUCUCUGUUUUCAUCGUUUCUUUCUUCCUUCUCAUUUUUCCCCUACUCUUUUUCCUUCAUUUCUUCCUUUUCGGUUUUGCUUUUUCCAAAACAGAGAUCCAAAUUUCUAGAAUUCUCUUGCAGUGCUGGUGAUUAUGCUAGUCUGAAAUGGGAAAGACUUAUUCCAGACCCCUGAAGAGCAAUGGUUUUGUAGGGACUGCAUUGUCCAUCACCUUUAGAGGAAGCAGAGCCAACUGAAUUAAGCAUCCACUUCCUUGGAUGCUGGAGAAGGGUGAGGCAAAUCAAAACUUUUGUGGGCAAGGUUUCAUGGUUAGGGUUGGAUGGGACCGACCAUCACCUAAAACACAGCAGCUUCCUACCAAAGUGCCAGUUCUGACCUCAGCUCCAAUUGCCCUUUGGAGCAUUUCCUCUCUCUCCACUGACUAUGGAAGUUCCAAACCAUCUUAGACAAUUACUCUUAAAUGCUUUAAAUUGUCUGGUGUGAAUAACCCCUGUUCCUUUAUCUCCAUCCAGGUUCUGUUGGAAUCCAAACCGGAAAGUCAAAGUGAGGAAUAUGGACAUGGGGUGAAAUCAUGUGCCUUGCAACAAAUUAUUUAGCAGUGAUAAGCUCCAGGUUUUUUUUCAGGAUAGGAGUGAUUAAAAGGAUAUGCAAAGGAUGACAAGGAUUGGCCCAUGAUGCUUCCAGAGGUGGUGCCACAGCCAGAAGAGCACAUCUGAUUUCUCAGGUCCUGGGAUGGGUUGGCAGCAUGAGAAGCAGGAGCCAUGGUUUAUCUAUAAACAGUGCAGUAUUAUAGUGGUAUCACUGUAGCACAAUAAACAUUGAGUCCCAUGGUACCAGUUUCACAGUCUCCAUGCAGACCAAAGCCUUGCUUUAAUAUUACUUGCACUUAAUCUUCAGUUUGUAAUAUUUAUUUAAUUUCUUCUUGUUAAGAACCCCAGAGGAAGGAUAGGCUCUAAGAGUCUAAACUCUCCUGGAUUGCAGUUCUAAACUAUUAAUCUGUCAUGUCAGCAUAUUUUAUUAAUACUGUUUUCCUGUGUACAAUUGGUGGAAUACAUCAUAAGUCACUUACCAUCUGCUGUGUAACUGUGUUGUAAAGUGUCUUUCUUCCAUAGAUUAUUGCUUUGAUAGAUUAGAGUUUUGUACAGUCGUGAUACCUCAUCCCAUCAAUUUUAAUCUCUCAGGAGGACAUUCAUGGCUGAAGUAUCUGCUCAUUGCAGAAGUCUUUAAUGACCUCUCACUGUGUCCCCACAGGCUAGGGAAGUGCUAUUAUGCUUGCUUGCCAGAUGAGAACACGUAUCCAGGUUUUGUGCUGCAUUGCUUCAAUGAAGUGUGCUUUCUCCUUCUCUUCCACCCCUUCCGUUCCAGGCAAAGGGGAGAGAUAAGCAGGUCUAGGAGGGAACAUCCUUUUCUCCAAACUGAAUUGGGGAUGGAUUGGUGUUUGGAUGCUUUCCUAGGAGUCCCUUGUAGCAUCCUAGGUACUGAGCCAUCUGUUGUGUUCUUUGGAGCCUGAACAUGUCUACACCAUCAGCUUUUACAGGCAGAGCUGCAUGAGUGCCAUGGGUGACCUACUGACCAUCAAAGAGAAGCAGCAACACCCAUGGAAGAAAAGCUCACUUGAUGGAUUCUUAAAUAUAAA